rnacentral:rRNA from 1 species
GACGAACGCUGGCGGCGUGCUUAACACAUGCAAGUCGAACGGUAAGGCCCUUCGGGGUACACGAGUGGCGAACGGGUGGGUAACACGUGGGUGAUCUGCCCUGCACUUCGGGAUAAGACUGGGAAACUGGGUCUAAUACCGGAUAGGACUCCGGACUGCAUGGUCUGGGGUGGAAAGCUUUUGCGGUGUGGGAUGGGCCCGCGGCCUAUCAGCUUGUUGGUGGGGUGAUGGCCUACCAAGGCGACGACGGGUAGCCGGCCUAAGAGGGUGACCGGCCACACUGGGACUGAGAUACGGCCCAGACUCCUACGGGAGGCAGCAGUGGGGAAUAUUGCACAAUGGGCGCAAGCCUGAUGCAGCGACGCCGCGUGAGGGAUGACGGCCUUCGGGUUGUAAACCUCUUUCAGCAUCGACGAAGCGAAAGUGACGGUAGGUGCAGAAGAAGGACCGGCCAACUACGUGCCAGCAGCCGCAGUAA